CCUACGGGUGGCAGCAGUGAGGAAUAUUGGUCAAUGGGCGGGAGCCUGAACCAGCCAAGCCGCGUGAGGGAAGAAGGUCCAGCGUAUCGUAAACCUCUUUUGUCAGGGAACAAAGGCGGGGACUAGUCCCCGGAUGAGUGUACCUUACGAACAAGCAUCGGCUAACUCCGUGCCAGCAGCCGCGGUACUACGGGGGAUGCGAGGGUUAUCCGGAUUUAUUGGGUUAAAAGGGUGCGCAGGCGGCCUGUUAAGUCAGCGGGAAAAGCCCGGGGCUCAACCCCGGCGAGCCGUUGAAACUGGCGGGCUGGAGUGGGAGAGAGGUACGCGGAAUGCGCGGUGUAGCGGUGAAAUGCUUAGAUAUCGCGCAGAACCCCGAUGGCGAAGGCAGCGUACCGGAUCCAAACUGACGCUGAGGCACGAAAGCGUGGGUAUCGAACAGGAUUAGAUACCCUGGUAGUC
rnacentral:rRNA from 1 species